UUCUAAAGUUAAACUAUUUUCUGA
rnacentral:tRNA from 1 species